rnacentral:rRNA from 1 species
AUUGAACGCUGGCGGCAGGCCUAACACAUGCAAGUCGAGCGAGAAAGCCCUUCGGGGUGAGUACAGCGGCGGACGGGUGAGUAACGCGUAGGAAUCUACCCGGUAGUGGGGGACAACUCGGGGAAACUCGAGCUAAUACCGCAUACGCCCUAUGGGGGAAAGCGGGGGACCUUCGGGCCUCGCGCUAUCGGAUGAGCCUGCGUUGGAUUAGCUAGUUGGUGGGGUAAAGGCCCACAAGGCGACGAUCCAUAGCUGGUCUGAGAGGAUGAUCAGCCACACUGGGACUGAGACACGGCCCAGACUCCUACGGGAGGCAGCAGUGGGGAAUAUUGCGCAAUGGGGGCAACCCUGACGCAGCCAUGCCGCGUGUGUGAAGAAGGCCUUCGGGUUGUAAAGC